CUGGUCUCACCUGGUCUCAUCUGAUCUGAGAAGCUAAGCGG
rnacentral:rRNA from 1 species